GCAGCGGUAGUUCAGUUGGUUAGAAUACCGGCCUGUCACGCCGGGGGUCGCGGGUUCGAGCCCCGUCCGCUGCGCC
rnacentral:tRNA from 2 species